GCCACUAGAGCAGUGCAAUUGUGGUGCAGCAGACGUGUGUUCUCGGCGAUCCUCUUGGAUUUGGGAUGUGCUCAAGGGGAGUGGCACAGGAUAUGAGACGGCCUCCCGAUUGGAGAUGGUGACAAAGUAUGGAUAUUAAUGUGACCGCUGCGCCGAGGGAGCUUCGGGGCGGAAUGGUGAUGCAUUCCGGCAGAUGUGGGACACGCGCUGAAUGGCAGAGACAGAGAGAGAGAGGAAAGGGUGAGUUUUCGAAGAAUGUAAAGUUUGGCUGAAGGAAAACUCAUGAACAUUUCUCUAUUGACCAUUAUCAAAUUAUUGGCUCAUUUUCCUCACAUUUUGUCGCUGGUGGAGAGGCGAUAAAAAUCCCCCAUUAGGCACUUUUAAUAUUGCCGCCGAGUGUGAAGGCGAAAAGCGU